UUAUUCUCACAGCACAGCCGCUUAUUCUCACAGCAGCUUUUUUUCAAAGCACAGCAAUACCAAACCAGCCCUUAGUGUUAUGACUUCGACCUUAUUGGAAAGCUGAGGAAUCAGUACCUGAUUCCCGUUAAUGUCAUUUCCUGAGCGCCUACUUAAGAGUAAAGGUCAAGUUGUCCUUUUCACAGUUAGGUGGCCUUUUGUACUAAACUUUUCAUGUCAGGCGUUCAACCACCUCUCUAUCAUUUGCUUUAUAAAGUUCUAGCUCACAUAGGUUUAGCUCUCACUAACUUAACCUGAACGCCAGCUGCUUGAUCAAGCAUCACCAAACAUAGCUAGUCUUAUCAUGAUCAAGCAUUGUUACAAGUUGAGGAACAAUCAUGAUCAGGUUAGGUUUUGCCACGUGCUCGGCUUGUGCUUACUUUUUAUGGAUAACCACUUAAACUAGAGACCCUACAAUGAGAAUUGGUUUCUUGUCGGCGAGUAACUAAGAGAGCUUUAUCGAGGUCGAACGAUAGGGGCUUGGGUUGCUAGGUGUUUCAAGGCGAAGGGUAAAGAACAAUACAAGUGGCAACUUAAUUGUCAUUGUCUUACAUGUCUUCAAAAUUUUGCUCUAUUUGUUUGUGGUUGACUGGUUGAGAAAGGUUUCUCUCGCAAAAAGAGAGGCUUUAACUAGCAGCUAUUGUGGAUGCAAAUUUUCUCCUCCUCGAUCUUGGACGAUUUUGCACCUUCAAAACAACUAGCACCUUAGGUUAAGGCCAAAAGCCUCACGUGCCCACGAUGAAUGGGGGGACUUUGGCCGAAGAACCUCCGAUGCCAAAGUUAGAAUUUUAGAGAGAAAUAGUGUUUAGAGUAUUUGGGAUUUUCUGUAAAAGAAUUAGAAUGACUUUUUGGUGAGAAUAGGUGCCUAUUUAUAGGAUUAA
rnacentral:lncRNA from 1 species